CUAUUUUUUUUCUUUAUACUGGUAAAGGUGAAUAUUUUUUUUAGAAAAUAGAACGCAUUCUAUGGUUAUUACUAGUGAUGAUGAUUAAAGUACAGUAUUAAGUUAAAUGUUAGAUAUUUUUAACUAUUGUAAGAAUUUAUAUUAGCUUUUUUAGCGUGUCUUGGGAGAAUUAAGGUGUGGAAGACUGGAAGUUAUCUGGACGCAAAGAAGACUUUGGAGUUGCCUUCUCGUUUAGGUGG
rnacentral:lncRNA from 1 species